UGGGGAAUAUUGCACAAUGGGGGAAACCCUGAUGCAGCGACGCCGCGUGAGCGAAGAAGGUUUUCGAAUCGUAAAGCUCUGUCCUAUGAGAAGAUAAUGACGGUAUCAUAGGAGGAAGCCCCGGCUAAAUACGUGCCAGCAGCCGCGGUAAUACGUAUGGGGCGAGCGUUGUCCGGAAUUAUUGGGCGUAAAGGGUACGUAGGCGGUCUAUUAAGUCAGGUGUGAAAGCGUGAGGCUUAACCUCAUUAAGCACUUGAAACUGAUAGACUUGAGGGAAGGAGAGGAAAGUGGAAUUCCUAGGGUAGCGGUGAAAUGCGUAGAUAUUAGGAGGAAUACCGGUGGCGAAGGCGACUUUCUGGCCAUAAUCUAACGCUAAGGUACGAAAGCGUGGGUAGCAAACAGG
rnacentral:rRNA from 1 species